UUUCGCAAUGCCCGAAAGGGUGACUAUGCGACGCCGCGUGCGCGAUGAAGGUCUUCGGAUUGUAAAGCGCUGUCAGCCGGGAGGAAUCUCGGGGGUUCGAACAGAGCCGCCGGGUGACAGUACCGGCAGAGGAAGCCACGGCUAACUCCGUGCCAGCAGCCGCGGUAAUACGGAGGUGGCAGGCGUUACUCGGAUUGAUUGGGUGUAAAGGGUGUGUAGGCGGUGCGCUAAGUCGAAUGUGAAAUCCCUUGGCUCAACCAAGGAAUUGCAUUCGAAACUGGCGUGCUUGAGUGAUGGAGAGGAAAGCGGAAUUCCCGGUGUAACAGUGAAAUGUGUAGAUAUCGGGAGGAACACCAGUGGCGAAGGCGGCUUUCUGGACAUCUACUGACGCUGAAACACGAGAGCAUGGGGAGCAAACAGGAUUAGAUACCCUGGUAGUCCAUGCCGUAAACGAUGGGCACUAAGUAGAGGGGUUUUAAUCUC
rnacentral:rRNA from 1 species